CAAUAGCGUAUACUUAAGUUGUUGCAGUUAAAAAGCUCGUAGUUGGAUUUCGGGUGGGACGCAGCGGUCUCGCAUUGCGUUUGUACUGCUGCAGCCCUCCUUCUUGCCGGGGGCGGCCUCUCGGACUUCACUGUCUGGGGGUCAGAAUCGGCGAUGUUACUUUGAGUAAAUUAGAGUGUUCAAAGCAAGCUUACGCUCUGAAUAUAAUAGCAUGGGAUAACACGACAGGACUCUGGCCUAUCGUGUUGGUCUAUAGGACCAGAGUAAUGAUUAAGAGGGACAGUCGGGGGCAUUCGUAUUCCGUUGUCAGAGGUGAAAUUCUUGGAUUUACGGAAGACGAACAUCUGCGAAAGCAUUUGCCAAGGAUGUUUUCAUUGA
rnacentral:rRNA from 1 species